rnacentral:hammerhead_ribozyme from 1 species
AUCCAGCUGACGAGUCUCAAAUACGACGAAAUGCUCAUUCUGCAU